rnacentral:misc_RNA from 1 species
AAAAGUUAAGGGCCCCGGGGGCCGUCUAAAAACCCGUAGCCAGAAAGGCGUCCCCCCGCCUGGGGGUGGGGCGCCGGAACGGUGAACUCCUUGUGAAAACCUUUGUUGCUUCGGCAGCGCCUCCCGGCCUCACGGCGGGGAGGGUCAGCCUGCCGGCGGCACAAAACCUAAAACCCUUCAUGCAAAGUAGAUUUUAAAACGUCUGAGAGCGCAGUCGAAUGACACUUA